rnacentral:tRNA from 1 species
UAUCUUAAAGCUUUGAAGCUGAAGCGAGAGACUUUUACUCUCUUGAAGAAAUAAUCUAAGAUAA